rnacentral:rRNA from 1 species
UACGGAGGAUUCGAGCGUUAUCCGGAUUUAUUGGGUUUAAAGGGUGCGUAGGCGGUUAAAUAAGUUUGAGGUUAAAUGCGUUAGCUCAACUAGCGUUUGCCUUGAAAACUGUUUGACUAGGAUGUAAACGGCGCAGGCGGAAUGAAUCAUGUAGCGGUGACAUGCAUAGAUAUGAUUCAAAACACCGAUCGCGAAGGCAGCUUGCGAGGAUACGAUUGACGCUGAAGCACGAAAGCGUGGGUAUCGAACAGGAUUAGAUACCCUGGUAGUCCACGCUGUAAACGAUGAUAACUCGUUGUUGGCGAUACACAGUCAGUGACUAAUUGAAAGAUAUAAGUUAUCCACCUGGGGAGUACGAUCGCAAGGUUG